rnacentral:rRNA from 1 species
UGGCUUAACACAUGCAAGUCGAACGGUGAAGCAGAGCUUGCUCUGUGUGAUCACUGGCGAACGGGUGAGUAACACGUGAGCAACCUGCCCCUGGACUCUGGGAUAAGCGCUGGAAACGGCGUCUAAUACUGGAUAUGUGACGUGGCCGCAUGGUCUGCGUCUGGAAAGAAUUUCGGUUGGGGAUGGGCUCGCGGCCUAUCAGCUUGUUGGUGAGGUAAUGGCUCACCAAGGCGUCGACUGGUAGCCGGCCUGAGAGGGUGACCGGCCACACUGGGACUGAGACACGGCCCACACUCCUACGGGAGGCAGCAGUGGGGAAUAUUGCACAAUGGGCGCAAGCCUGAUGCAUCAACGCCUCGUGAGGGAUGACGGCCUUCGGGUUGUAAACCUCUUUUAGCAGGGAAGAAGCGAAAGUGACGGUACCUGCAGAAAAAGCGCCGGCUAACUACGUGCCAGCAAGCCGCGGUAAUACG